rnacentral:rRNA from 1 species
GAUGAACGCUGGCGGCGUGCUUAACACAUGCAAGUCGAACGGGAAACCUUUUAAUGAAGCUUCGGCAGAUUUAGCUGGUUUCUAGUGGCGGACGGGUGAGUAACGCGUGGGUAACCUGCCUUAUACAGGGGGAUAACAGUCAGAAAUGACUGCUAAUACCGCAUAAGCGCACAGGACCGCAUGGUCCGGUGUGAAAAACUCCGGUGGUAUAAGAUGGACCCGCGUUGGAUUAGCUUGUUGGUGGGGUAACGGCUCACCAAGGCGACGAUCCAUAGCCGGCCUGAGAGGGUGAACGGCCACAUUGGGACUGAGACACGGCCCAGACUCCUACGGGAGGCAGCAGUGGGGAAUAUUGCACAAUGGGGGAAACCCUGAUGCAGCGACGCCGCGUGAAGGAAGAAGUAUCUCGGUAUGUAAACUUCUAUCAGCAGGGAAGAUAGUGACGGUACCUGACUAAGAAGCCCCGGCUAACAACGUG